GCAGGCAGCCAUGACCAGAGGCUCCUCCACAGCUUGGAGGAGCUGGCUGAGUGCCCAGAGGGUGCCCGAGCAUCCUGGUGUGUUCAGCACCGAGAGAGGUCUGUGUCAGCCACCGUCCCCUGGAGCCAGGCAGGAAGUCCGCUCUUCUCCAACCUCAUUGCAACCCCUUCCCAUGCUUGCAGAGAGCCCAUUAUCGUACCUACUUAACAGGCAGGGGUUUGUAUGGACUUAGCACCAAGAUGGUAGGCCUGGAGCUCCACAGCUUUCACAGAUGGAUGUCCAUCCUAAACAUAGGACAGAGCUUGUAGUUCCCAUCUCCCUGUGACAGCUGCUGGCAGCCAGGAUGUACUAAGGACCGACUGGUUCAUCUGCUGAGAGCUUUUGAUUGUUGCUGUUAUCAUUUUGAUUACCUUUUGUAUAGGCUAGCAGAAGGGUUUUAAUCUGGUCAGUGAAGUAGGAAAUGGGAGAAGCUGUGCCCAGCGCUCACUGAGGAGGCAGCGGGGCUGGUGGCUCCUUGUCCACAUGUCUAUGGAUGCUCUUGGCCAAACUGGGAGUGUCGGGUAGAAGUGUUCCUGGCCCAGCCUCAUGGGGCUGCAGAUGUCCUUUGUGUUAUGCACAGCCCAGCUGGUGCCCAAGCAGCCAGAGAUGCUUAACCAUGGUCUCACAGCUGCCCAGAGCUGGUCACUGCCUCAAAGCAUUGCUGCGAGCAGGCAGAGGAAGGGGUGGCAAGCUCCCAGGGUUUCAGCUCUGCCUCCCGUUCUUGCAACUCAGGACAAAGUCAUCUGAUGUAUUCCCGCCAGUGGCUAUGAAUUGUCAUUCACCAGAAGUGCCAAGGUGACAGCUGUGAAGACCACAGGCAGUGGUUUCGCCUGCAGAUGAGGAGCAGCUCUGUAGAUCCUGGCUCUGUGAUGCUCUCCAGAUGCCAACACAGCCGGUGUGAACAGGCAUGGCGGGUUAGGCAGCCACCACUGCUGUGCUGCAUCGCCUCUGAGGCUCAGUCACAGCCCACAGUGGGUUCAACCUGCCACAAAAUGGGUUUGUUUCAGUCCCUCUUGGUGAAAGCAAAGUAGCAGUGCUGUAGGCAGAGCUGUUUGCUUCGCACUGCAGCGGCUUGGGCGCACAGAUGGGGCAGAUGGCAUGUGGCAAAGGGAAGGGAUGAGGAUGGGGAGCAGGGCUGUGUGCCGUGGGACUCAGCCAGUCCCACUGGGUCUGGCAUGGGGAGGUGUCUUGCCCCAUCUCAAGCUCUCUGUGCCACCACCAGCUUCCCUGCUGCGGAUGUGCCUGGAGGGCUGUUGCAGUGUGGUUGUAACAGUGGGACUGUCCAUCACUUCCCCUGCUGUACACACAACUCCAGCCCGCUGCCCUCCGUGUCAGCCCCAGCUCCUGCUGCUCGAGGUGCAGACAGUUGGUUGUUUCAGCCUGAUCCCAUCAGUCCAUCAUGGUCUACAAAGCCCAUGGGCAUCCUGCUGCAGGAGAAGAGAUGCCAGGGGCCAGGUAACAAAAGAGGUGAUGAGGGGAGGCAGCAUUCCCGUAUCCUGGGGGCUCUGGGUGCUGUGGCACAGCAGGGGUGCUGCAGCCCCAUGGCAGUGCAGGUUGCAGGGCAUUGUGCAGGAACGUGUUGCAGCUAAUGCUGUGUGACAGUUUGACAGGUCCUCCUGGCACAGCCAGAGCUGACAUGCUGUCUUCAGAGCUGUCACUCUUUGGCUUCCACACUACAGUGUUUAUCAUAAACAGUAAGUAACCUUCCCCCAGUGUUUAAGGAGUGAGCAGGGCUGUGGUUUUAUUUGCAUGUUCUUAGGAAGAUGCUCAGCCCCAUGUUAAUCAUCUCUGGGCUGUAUCCUCCAGAGAGAUGGAGCUGGAUGGGGACGGGUUCAACAUCCCCAUGGUCUGAGGAGGUGAUGCUGAGCACCACCCUUAGAAGUGCUCACAGUGGCCUGGCUGGGGACUGGGUGAGGAUGGCAUCAGCUCCUUGGGGCUGGGGUAGCCACGGACCCCUGCAGGGUCAGGAGUUUCACAUGUGAAACACAGGAGCAGGACAUAUUGCUGCCCUCCCCAGCCCCUUGAACUUGAACACUAUCCUGUAUGGACCACUGUCCUCCUGGCAGGAGCUCUGGGGCACGAGGUGCCAUCACAAACCAGCCCAGGGGGGAUGAUUGUGGUCCCGCACCUUCCAUUUCUCUGCUCCGCUGGGUGUUCUUGGUGCUUUCUGAGAGCAGUGAGGCUCCCAGCGCUCAAUCCCUUCCACCCUCAGAGAGAGGCAAACCAGGAACACACACAGCGAAGCCGAAUUACCAGUGUGUCUGGAGAGGCAGGGAGCUGGAACAAGACAGGCUCUGACAGCUGCUUUCAGGUCUGUGAGAGACUGAGCAACGUGUCAGCCACGCACAGCUCGUCUUGCACAGCAUCAACCCCCGUUUUGCCCGGCUGCUUUUCAGCAUGCACAGCCUGUCCGUGCCUCAGGAGCUGCCUGGCUCUACCUGUCCUGCCUGUGAAAUGCAUUCAGGAUGGGUGCUGGGGUGGCAGCCAUGGGCUGCUCCAUCAUGGGGCCGUGCCUAAGCAGUGGGGAUGCGCUGGUCCCUGCAGUGGGGCUGGGAAGCAGCAUGUGUUUCCAGGCUGAGUCAUGCUGAGGGUUUGUCUUGUUCCUUGUUAAGAGUCCAGAUAUGAUAUUUGCUUGGCAGAAAUCAGCUUAUCAUUCACCCCUCCCCCUGUCCGUCCAUCCACCCAUCCACCCAUCCAUCCAUCCAUCCAUCCAUCCAUCCAUCCAUCCAUCCAUCCAUCCAUUCCUCCUUCCCAGC
rnacentral:lncRNA from 1 species